ACGGAAGGCAGCAGUGGGGAAUAUUGGGCAAUGGGCGCAAGCCUGGCCCAGCAAUGCCGCGUGAAGGAAGAAGGCCUUCGGGUUGUAAACUUCUUUUAUCAGGGACGAAUACAAUUGACGGUACCUGAAGAAUAAGCCACGGCUAACUACGUGCCAGCAGCCGCGGUAAUACGUAGGUGACAAGCGUUGUCCGGAUUUACUGGGUGUAAAGGGCGCGUAGGCGGGAAAGCAAGUCAGAUGUGAAAUCUCUGGGCUCAACCCAGAAACUGCAUUUGAAACUGUUUUUCUUGAGUGUCGGAGAGGUAAACGGAAUUCCGAGUGUAGCGGUGAAAUGCGUAGAUAUUAGGAGGAACACCAGUGGCGAAGGCGGCUUACUGGACGGUAACUGACGUUGAGGCUCGAAAGCGUGGGGAGCAAACAGGAUUAGAUACCCUGGUA
rnacentral:rRNA from 1 species